rnacentral:snRNA from 1 species
AGCCGUGCGGUGAGCACAAAGCGAACUAUUCUUUCGCCUUUUACUAAAGAAUACCGUGUGCUCGCCGCAAUUAGCGGCAUACACCUAUUUUUGGAGGUGGUUUUCCCAAUAGGGAUU